UACGAGGGGAGCUAGCGUUGUUCGGAAUUACUGGGCGUAAAGGUCGCGUAGGCGGUUCUAUAAGUCAGAUGUGAAAACCCCGGGCUUAACCUGGGAGGUGCAUUUGAAACUGUAGGGCUUGAGAUCGAGAGAGGAAAGUGGAAUUACGAGUGUAGAGGUGAAAUUCGUAGAUAUUCGUAAGAACACCAGUGGCGAAGGCGACUUUCUGGCUCAAUACUGACGCUAAGGCGCGAAAGCGUGGGGAGAAAACAGG
rnacentral:rRNA from 1 species